rnacentral:lncRNA from 1 species
GCGGCGGGAGUCUGAGCACCUCCCCCUGCUUGAGAAGUGGCUGCUGCUACCGGAACAGAGGCCGCCUGAGCAAGACUUGUACACGUGGUCAGAAUCUGAGCUAAGGCCUCCUGAAGGCCUGGAAUCACAAUAGGCACAGGUGGUUCAUGAGCUGGUCCCACUGACUCAUCCAUAACUGGAGCCUACUCCUGAAAUGGGGCAACUAGUGGAUCUGCAGGUGCUGCCUUAGCUACGGUGCGAGCUGCACCUCUGCCCCUACCACGGCCUCUACUGCGACCUCGGCCUCUCACGGCCCUGACUGGUGAUACUGGUGGAUGUCCAUCCUGCCCUGUAGUAUGUGUCCUCGCCAUCUGUGAGAGAAUUAGAAUAACAGAAAUUUAGUUACCAGAAUCAAAAGAUUCGCACGACAAGAAUUCAAGAAUGUGAAGUUUCCUAAGGGUUCGACAGACUCUCGUAGAUAAGUACAGACGUCUCCGUAUAGAUCCGCAAGACUCUACUAAACCUGCACAUGACUCGUGAGACCUAUGUAACCUAGGCUCUGAUACCAAAUUGUCACGACCCAAAACCUAACCCAUAGUGAUGGCGCCUAUCGUGUAACUAGGCAAGCCGACAUUUCCAAAACACUUUCAACAUUUAACAGAAAUGAAUUAAGACAUUUAAAAUAACCAGAGUUUUUCAUAAAAAUGAAGUAAAACCCAAAAAACAUAAGUGCAGAAAAAUAGCCCGACAUCGGGGUGUCACUGAGUUAUGAGCAUCUAGAUAUCCAGUCUAAUACAAGGUCUGCGGAUGCCGAUAGCUACCUCGUAGUCUCCGAUACUCGAUCGCACACGAAUUCAACGACCUCCGUGAUCAAACGCACUUGGAUCUGAACAUGAAGUGUAGGGUGUAGCAUGAAUACAACCAACUUAGCAAGUAACAGAAAUAAAUAAGGAACUGAGAAGGUAGUGACAAGCUAUACAAUUACAGUUCAUUUUCAAUAAUUCCAGCAAAGAGUAGACAUGCUUUCAAAUCUGACAGUUCAAGUCAAAUCAGUUUACAUAGUUACAGUGCAGGUAAUCAGGAUAUUGAAUCUUUCAGAAAUUUCACAACAAUGACAGAUAGUAACUAAGUGCAUCAACAAAUGAAAAACAAGUACCACCUCUCAAGGCAAUAGACACUCAACUCGUCACAACAGCUUAAUCACUCGGCUCUCAGCCCUCAGUAUUCACACUCAAUAGGUACCUGUACUCACUGGGGGUGUGUAGACUCCGGAGGGGCUCCUUUCAGCCCAAGCGCUAUAUUGCUGCUUCGUGCAGCCCGACCCAAUCAUAUAAGUAGCCAUAAGGCUCGUUGCGGCGUGCAACCCGAUCCACAAUCCAUAAAUAACCAUAAGACUCGUUGCGGCGUAAAACCCUAUCCAUAUGCCCUCACAUAGCUCACAGCUCGACACGCAUGCCCUACCUCAGUCACUGACCUCUCCAGCCCCUCGGGCUCACAGAAUAUCAUAAUAAUCAGCCCAAACAGAGAAAACAACAAGUAUCAACUAGAAAUGAGAGGGAACAGAGAUAUAACACACAAGUAAGACUUGAACUGAGUACAAGACAAAAGUUAGCAGUCAAUCCAAUAAGUACUCGACCGCUACGGGUCCUAACAGUGAUAACAAUAUGGCCUAAGCAUGGUUUCCAACAUGAAUGGCAGUCAAAUUUCUAGAAGACAGAGGGAACAUGAAAUUAACAAUGAGCUAUUCGACUUUACAGUCUCGCGGGAUGGACCAAGUCACAAUCCCCCCACGGUGCACGCCCACACGCCCAUCACCUAGCAUGUGCGUUACCUCUAAAACAAUCAUAUCAUACCAAAAUGUGAGGUUUCAUACCCUCAGGACCAGAUUUAAAACUAUUAUUUACCUCAAAUCGAGCAAAUCUAUACUCUGAAAUGUCUUUGCCUCUCAAAACGGUCUCCAAACGUCCCGAAUCUAGCCAAAAGUAGAACAAUAUAAUCAAUAUAAGCUAAAGGGAUCAAUUCCACAAGAAAAGUACUAAAUUAAGCCAAAAAUCCGAAAUCGACCCGAACUCGGCCCACGUCUCGAAACCCAACAAAAGUCACAAAACCCGAAAGUCCAUUUAACCAUAUCAAAUUUACUUAAAUCCGAUUAAAAAAAUCCAUUCAAAAUCUAAAAAUUCCAACUCAAGAGUUCUUCCUCUUUUUUCCCAAUUUCUCACCCAAAAUCACAAAUUAGAUGAUAAAACUAAAGAUGAAAUCAUGGGAUUUAACCAAAACCAAGUAAGAAUCACUUACACCAAUCAACUCCACGAAAAUCCCUUCAAGAAUUGCCCAAUUCCGUGUUCUCUAGCUCAAAAUGUGUAAAAUGGGUUCAAACCCCCGUUUUUGAAAUUAAUACUACCUGCCCAGAUAUCAUUCAUCAUGAUCGCGGAACAUUCCUCGCGAUCGAGAAGCACAACUAUGCUACCCCACAUUUUUACACUACGCAAAUGUGGAAUCAUCCAUGAGAUCGCAGAUCACUGCCUCUCAUACCUACGGGAUUGCAUCCUUCCUCACGCGAUCGCAUAGAGCAUUGGCCACACCUCCCCUCCUGCUCAAAUCCUUCUACGCAAACGCGACCUUAGCCACGCGUUCGCAAAGCACAUCUUCGCACACAUACGCGAUCGUGUUCCUAGCCUUGCGAUCACAUAGAACAAACUCACCUCUUCCCCAAAUAAGCUUACGUGAUCGCGAAUGAAUCCCUGCGAUCGCGUACAAGAAAACCAGAACCUGCUGAAACCAGAACUUCAACUAUCAAGCCAAGUCCAAAAAUGAUCCGUUAAGCAUCCGAAACUCACCCGAGGUUCCCGAGACCUCAACCAAGUAUACCACCCAAUCCUAAAAUACCAUACGAACUUAGUUGAGCCUUCGAAUCACUCAAAACAACAUCAAAACACCAAUUACACCCGGAUUCAAGCCUAAAGAACUUCUAAACUUUCUAAUUACACAAACGACGCCGAAACCUACCAAACCACGUCCGAUUGACCUCCAAUUUUGCACACAAGUCUUAUUCAAUAUUACGCACCUAUUUCAACUUUCGGAAUCGGAAUCCGACCCCGAUAUAAAAAAUUCGACCCCCCGGUCAGACUUCCCAAANNNNNNNNNNNNNNNCCAAAAUCACCUAACGGAGAUAACGGAACCGACAAAACUCCAUUCCAGAGUCGUCUUCACACACUUCCGACUACAAUCAAAAUCCUGAGACUUAAGCUUCGGUUUUAGGGACUAAGUAUCCCAAAACACUCCGAAACCAAAAAUAAGACCUCCCAGCAAGUCACUUAAGCAAAAACAGAUACGGAAAAAAUAGUAAAUAGGGAAUCGGGGCUCAUACACUCAAAACGACCGACCGGGUCAUUACAAAUUAGAAAAAAAGUUAUUUUUACUAAAAUAUUGUGUAAACAACACGGUGACAUGACUCAUGGUUAUACAAUUACCAAUGGGAUGUAAUACACUUUUUUGUAAUUCAUAUCCAAUUUUAUACAUGUACAUUUGUAUAUUUGUAUAUGAAAGCAUGAUUUUGUUGAAAUUUUUGUUAUGUGCAUGUGAUUUUCUACUCUAAAAAUAAUAUAAUUUAUAAAAAAUAAUUACUGGGGCCAGUAGAACUGGUUACUAAAUAUGGUAUACAGCAACUGGUCUACGCUUAAGGACCAAAAUAAAAGUACUUAAGGACCAGAUUUGUGGUCCCUAAAACUAUUUUAGGGACUAGAACUUUUCUACUCGUUACAACUCCUUAAGGACCAGCUCCUCAAACUCGUCGUUAUUGGCCUUUAGCGGCGGAGCCUCUAGCGACGAGCGGCGACCAGAUUUUACUGGUCGUUAUUGUACUUCAAGGACCAGAAUCACACUUUUAGGGACUAGUUUUCCUGUCGCAAAUGACUGUUUUUCUUAUAGUGUUGGUCUGAUUCAACACGUGCCCCUCUUGUCAAGAACAACUUUGUACGAAGAUGAUUACAAUGGACAAAUUCUAAUCUCGAGGGUGAGGAUGAUCCAAGAUGAAUGGCACGACUUGAUCAUGAUGCCAAUGGGAAAAAAUCCUUGGUGCACGCCCGAGUACUUCGUGUGGAUCAACGAGGAGGACGAGUUGGCCAGACCUAGUAGAGAAGGAUUGACCGGACUAGAGGACUCAGCAACAGCUCUGCAAAUAUAUCACAAGAUUUUGCCUCACUAUCUCAUCACCACCGCCAUUGCAUCAACAGGUAGGGUUCCAGGAUCGGUCGACCACAUGUAGCCGCUAUAGGACGACAACCAGGUGAUUAAAUAAACUAUUUACUCACGUUUAUCACUAAUGAUUUUCAGCGUUUAAUGAUUAACAGAUUUGAGAACCAAAACUAACGCUCCUUGAAACUUCAAAGAAGAUCAUAAACGAUAACAGACUAUUUUCAAAAUUAAAAGCAGUCGCACAUUCAAGUUUGCUAUAACAAACAUCGACAAGUUUUAAGCACAAAACUUUCUCGCUAAAAUUAUCUUCAAAGACAAAGUUAUUCCAAUUAGAGACACAUUUCCACCGGAUAAAACUUUUGCUUUACAACUUACACAACCUCACAAAUAAUAUCUCUCUUUUCAAAUAGAAUUCACAACUUUUCCAAAACAACGAGUUUUCGAACAAGGUUUCAAAACAUUCUUUACAAAUCUUAUUUAGCCAUUUUAGACAUUAAACUGAGCAGAAUAUAGAUUUUCCUUUUCCCAAAUCUACCCUAAGUUUAAGGAGCCACCUCAGAUGGAUUUUAAGAGAUGCAUAACACCUUCCCCUUAGAAUAACUAGAACCCUUAUCCAAAUCUCAAUGGUUAGAAGACUAUUAAGAUAAUAAACUUACAGACUUAUAGGUACCCUAAUAUACCUUUAAAUAUUAGGUAGCGACUCUCUUUUAUCAACCUCAGAUUAACAAUAAGAUACUUACCUCAAGCAAGCCAAAUCAAAUACCGAGCAAGCCCAACAAUACUCUAGAAACGCCAUCCUAUGCGAAUCGACCUUCGAACGGCUCGAAAGUAGCCAAAAACAACUCAAAAUCAUCAAAUAAUGCAAAAGGAAGUAAACCCAAAUAAUAAAAGUCGAAUAUUUAACCAAAUACUCAAAGUCAACUCGGGCCCACAUCUCGAAUCUGAUAAAACUCAAAAAUUCCGACAAUUUAUUCAAUUAAGAGCCCAACCAUAGUAAUUUCAUUUAAAUCCGACUUCGAAUCGAUGUUCAAAACCCAAUUAUUCACUUUAGGAAAAUUUAGACAAAAUCCCCCCAAUUUGUCUUUUACAAUCAUCAAUCAAAUGCACAAAUCGAAGAUGGAAUCAUGUAAUAUAAUAAAACCCGAGUAGAAAAUCCUCUAACAAAUCUCCCAAAUCAGAGUUCCCCAACUCAAAAUGUGAUAAAAUGAGCUCAAGGUCCGAAAUAGAGUACUUUAUAAUCAGUAUCCAGUUAUAUGCAUCGUGAUCGCGGCAUGACCCUCGCGAUAGCGAAGAAGAAAAAAUCACACUAGCCUGAAAUACUCUACGCGUUUGCGAAACAGACCAUGCAAACGCAAUGCGCACAGAUGCCAACGCUCCGCGAACGCGACCUACGACACGCUAACGCGAAGAAGAGUUCUCCAGCUCCCAGCUGCCCAACGCAAAUGUGAUCCCACUGUGCCAACGCUCCGCGAACGCGACCUACGACACGAACGCGAUGAAGAAAAUCACCAAGCGCUAGACUUAACUUAUGCGAUCGCGGAUACAUCUUCGCGAUCGCGAAGAACAAUUGAGGCAUCAAAAACCAGCAAAAGCCAGCAAUGAAAUCAUCCUCCAAGAUGAUCUGAAAUCAUCCCGAAACUCACCCGAGCUCCUCGAGACCCCAUCCGAACGUAUCAACAAGUCCCAAAAUAUAACACGGAUCAUUCGAGGCCUCAAAUUGUACAUAACAACAUCAAAAUCAUGAAUCGCACCUCAAAUCAAACUUAAUGAACUUUUGUACUUUCAACUUCUAAAAUUCAUGUCGAACCAUAUCAAAUUAACUCGGAAUGGCCUCAAAUUUUGCACACAAGUUCAAAAGGACAUAACAAACCUAGUCCAAUUUUCAGAACAACAAUCCAAAACCGAUAUCAUCAAAGUCAACUCCCGGUCAAACCUAUGAACUUUUCAAUCCUUCAAAUUGCCAACUUACGCUAAUUAGUACCAAACAUUCUAAAAACAUCCAAAUGCAAAUCCAGGCAUACAUCCAAGUCCAAAAUCACCAUUCGGACCUAAUGAAACCUCAAAAUUUCGAUCUGAGGUCAAAUACACGAAAGCCAAACUUGGUAAACUCUUCCAACUUAAAACUUCCUAGUUGAGAAUCAUUCUUCUAAAUCAAUCCCGAACCACUAAAAAACUCCGAUGAUACACAUAAGUCAUAAUAUAUCAUAUGAAGCUACGGAUGCCCUUGAACCACCAAACGAAAUACAAUUGCUCAGAACAACCGGUCUGGUCGUUACAAAUUUACACUAUUAUGGUCUGCGAAACCGUUAAGAUUCCAAGUAAGAGUUCAAAUUAUCUAGAGGGAAAGGGGUUAGGCAUCCCUCAAGAUCAACAAAAAUGUAUGUCCCGCAGACUUAAUCAAAUAUAUGAGGGAAGGUUCAAAAGAAUGAUUAACUACCUCACAUAGAAUUCCUAUCAAGAGUAGCCAAUGUAAUUGUCAUGCAACGAAUAAAUAUUUAAACCGGGACUAUUUUAUUUGUAGAAAAAUAUAUACAAUAGGAUAUGCAAAGUAAAUUAAUAAACAAAAAUCUUUGGGGUUUGAUUGAAAGAAUUGGAUUCGAACUAAAGUAUAAAGAAAACUUUGAUUUAUAAUUAAAGCCAAGUGAAUAUAGAAGGUUAGUCUUAUGUAAAUAAAGGUAAAGAGUUACCUUUGAAUAAUUAGCUAUCAAUUAAAUUAAAGAAACAAUCAAAUAAAAUAAUUUUUUUUAUCAUAAAUUGUGGGGGGCAUAAGAAAGAAUUAUCUAAAUAAAUCUUAUAUGAUAGGAUGUCUAAGGUUCUAUCCUAAAGGGUUAGUUGAGUAAAGAAUAAAUAGGGAACAUGAAAGGUUUGUCAAUGAUAUACAAGAAAAGAAUUAUUUUUUAAUGAAAAAGUACGUUUAAAAAUAAAUAAAUUAAAUACCUAUGAUUAAAACUUUACCUAAGGCUAUUACUUUAAAUCACAUUGUUAGCCAAAGAAAUAUUCACAGACAUGAAUCUAAGUGUCACAGUAUAAGAUAUGGUAAGAGUAGAGAAAAAUAUAAUGAUAAUUAAAUAUUUUAAAAUUUGUACUAAACACAACUAAAUUAUUCACAAUCUCAAAUUUACUCGAGUUAAACUAACUAGUUGGAUUAACUACGUGAAUACAAAUCAAGUAAUCAAACCAAUUACAAGAACAUGUCUAAGGCCUAAGUAUUUGAUGUGAACUAUUGUUAGCUAAGGCUAGACGGCUAAAAUUAUUUUUUAUCUACACAUGAUUUUCUAUGUGUGAUAGAUAGAGCAGAUAAAUACCUAAAAGGAUAAGUAAAGCAAUAUUCUAAGUAGAUUUCGACUAUACUUGUAUUUGAGUACAUCUGAGAACGGAAAGUACGAAUCGGGAAAUCGGGAAAUGUGACGGGAAUUUAUCUUUAUAUCUCCGAGUUUACUCCUCAAAGCUCUACAAGUAAAGUACCUCGCAAAGAAAGAAGAGAAACAUGUUAGUAAAUAACAUGAUAAAAAAACAAACUAACAAAAUGAUAUGUUUUUUGAAAAUGACUUUUUGAAAUCUUUUUGGAAUUUUUUUUUGAAAAUAGUUUGAAAUAUAUUUUUGGGAGGUUCGUAUUGUAUAUUCGAUUUUCGUCUAGAAAUGAAAACGAGAACCCCCUGGUUGCGACUACGGUAGCCAACCGUGUCGCUGUCCAAAGUGUUAGUUCAUCACGUUCUCGUCUUUCUCUUUUCGAUAAGUUAUCGUCAUCGCCUCUUUAUUUUCGGGCCCGAUUCAGAGGGUCAAUCGGAGGUUCAUGGCCUCAAUAUUUUUGCAAUUUACAAAACAACUUACAAACGGAGAAACAAUGAGAAAACAAAAUCGAACGAGAUAACAAUAAAGGCAAAUGAGCAACCACUGUCGAUAAAAUGGUAGAGACAAAGUUACAACAACAUUAUCAGUGGAACGAACGCCCAUCAUUUGGGAUUAGGCAGCAAAGGCUCAAUAAGGAUGUAAAUAAGAAAUUAAACUUUUAACACCAAGUAAUCUUUACAGAGGCUAAAAGCAGUUAGGGGUCGCCGGAAUUUAAAACUUUCCGAUUAGGUCGCCGGAAUAUUAAGGGCACAAGAUUUAUUAGAUAAUAAAAUAGUAAUAGUCCACAUCCCACAAAUAGGGAUACAUCAACAAUGAGAGGCAAUGAUAUCGCCGACGUUUGGUCUUAACUUUUGGUCUUUAUUUUCUGAUGGAGGAAGCAAAUGCAAAACGUCACCGGAAACAAUAAGCUACGGCUAGAUCUGAUGAUUACCAGCUUAACAGUAAAAUCAACCAACGUCAUCAAGGUUGGAGGCGUUUCUUCGAUGGCCACAGCACCGGAACAACGGCCAAAAGAGAAGAUACGUUCAAUAUUAUGCCGAAAAAUAAAUUUCGACUAGAUCUAAAAGUUAUCCAUGACUUCUGGCGCGUUGUGGUAGUGAUUCAAACGACGCAGUGAUGGCGUGCGGUUGAAGUAGCAGUCACUAGCCAGCCGGUGAUGAAAUCUAGUGGCAGUGUGCGCAGGAGAUAGGAAAGAUGGCGGAUAGCCAUGAGAGAAGGGGUAGAGAGAUUCGGGGGUGCCACUGCCUGGUAAAACAAUGAGAGGAGGGAUAAGGUUUUCCCUUAUAAAAAAUGUUGAUGGAAUCCUCCCCCACCCCAAAUGUGUAGUGUCUAGAUAUUUUAUGUAAUAUGGUGUUAAAACACGUGGCCUUCAUUUAAUCAAAAAUAAAAUGACAAUGUAAAAAUGAAAGAUGUGGUA